GGAGAUCUUAACAACAUGGCAGACAUUGACAACAAAGAACAGUGUAAACUUUAUCAAGAUUUGGAUGAUGUUGAAGAAGUAGAAGAAGAAACUGGUGAAGAAACAAAAAUCAAAGCACGUCAGCUGAGUGUUCAGAUGAUGCAAAAUCUUCAGAUUCUUGCAGCCCUUCAAGGAAGACUCAAUGGUCUAGUAGAAACACCAAUAUAAUACAUUGAAAGCUUGCCUAGGGUAGUUAAAAGACGAGUGAAUGCUCCCCCAAAUCUUCAAGUUAAAUGUGCACAGAUAGAAGCCAAAUUCUAUGACAAAGUUCAUGAUCUUGAAAGGAAGUAUGCUGUUCUCUAUCCACCUCUACUUGACAAGCGAUUUGAGAUUAUUAAUGCGAUUUAUGAACCUACGGAAGAAGAAUGUGAAUGGAAAGCAGAUGAAGAAGACGAAAUUUUGGAGGAGCUGAAAGAAAAGGCCAAGAUUGAAGAUGAGAAAAAGGAUGAAGAAAAAGUUUGGUUGACUGUUUUUAAGAAUGUGGACUUGUUCAGUGAUAUGGUUCAGGAACAUGAUGAACAUAUUCUGAAGCACUUGAAAGAUAUUAAAGUCAAAUUCUCAGAUGCUGGCCAGCCUGUGAGUUUUGUCUUAGAAUUUCACUUUGAAUCCAAUGAAUAUUUCACAAAUGAAGUGUUGACAAAGACAUAUAGGAUGAGGUCAGAACCAGAUGAUUCUGAUCCCUUUUCUUUUGAUGGACCAGAAAUUAUGGGUUGUACAGGGUGCCAGAUAGAUUGGAAAAAAGGAAAGAAUGUCACUUUGAAAACCAUUAAGAAGAAGCAGAAACAUAAGGGACGUGGGACAGUUUGUACUGUGACUAAAACAGUUUCCAAUGACUCUUUCUUUAAUUUUUUUACACCCUCCUGAACUUCCUGAAAGUGGAGAUCUUGACGAUGAUGCUGAAGCUAUUCUUACUGCAGAUUUUGAAAUUGGUCACUUUUUACGUGAGUGUAUAAAGAUCAUAAAAGAUCAGUGUUAUACUUUACUGGAGAAGCUAUUGAAGAUGAUGAUGAUUAUGAUGAAGAAGGUGAAGAAGCAGAUGAGGAAGGGGAAGAAGAAGGAGAUGAGGAAAAUGAUCCAGUCAAAAAUGAUCUUCGACUAUAACCCAAAGAAGGAUUAAAAUCCAGCAGAGUGCAAGCAGCAGUGA